rnacentral:rRNA from 1 species
AUUCGAACGGCGUGGCGGCAGGCCGUAACACAUGCAAGUCGAGGCGGUAGCAACGAGAGAGCUUGCUCUCGGGUGACGAGCGGCGGACGGGUGAGUAAUGUCUGGGAAACUGCCUGAUGGAGGGGGAUAACUACUGGAAACGGUAGCUAAUACCGCAUAAUGUCGCAAGACCAAAGUGGGGGACCUUCGGGCCUCAUGCCAUCAGAUGUGCCCAGAUGGGAUUAGCUAGUAGGUGGGGUAAUGGCUCACCUAGGCGACGAUCCCUAGCUGGUCUGAGAGGAUGACCAGCCACACUGGAACUGAGACACGGUCCAG